rnacentral:rRNA from 1 species
GGACGAACGGCUGGCGGCGUGCCUAAUACAUGCAAGUCGAACGGUCUUUUCUAUGGAAGCUUGCUUCCACUGAGAAGAUAGUGGCGAACGGGUGAGUAACACGUGGGUAACCUGCCCAUAAGAGGGGGAUAACAUCCGGAAACGGGUGCUAAUACCGCAUAGUUUUCUUGAUCGCAUGAUCGGGAAAGGAAAGACGGCCUUUGUGCUGUCGCUUAUGGAUGGACCCGCGGCGUAUUAGUUAGUUGGUGAGGUAACGGCUCACCAAGACGAUGAUACGUAGCCGACCUGAGAGGGUGAUCGGCCACAUUGGGACUGAGACACGGCCCAAACUCCUACGGGAGGCAGCAGUAGGGAAUCUUCCGCAAUGGACGAAAGUCUGACGGAGCAACGCCGCGUGAGUGAAAGAAGGUUUUCGGAUCGUAAAACUCUGUUGUCAGAGAAGAACAAGUUGGAGAGUAACUGCUCCAGCCUUGACGGUAUCUGACCAGAAAGCCACGGCUAACUACGUGCCAGCCGCCGC